UAUCUUAAGGUGUCCAUAAAUAUGAAGCCAAAUACAGUAGUUGUGACCUUACUUUCUUCCAGGCAUCCGAUUUCCAAGAAUAGCUUCCUGAAAACCCAUUUCAGUUGGAAACAAAAAAAUAAUAAUGUUUGAAUACAAUCAGACUAUGUUUGGUGUAGACAAGAAUUUUCUCAUGCAUUAUGUUUACGUGACUGCAAGAAAAGAGACAUAAGGGGUGUGUGGUGAUCAUUGUAUGAAGGAAGGAAACCCAAGGUACUCAACCUAUUGAUGCACAUGGACAUGAUGACUCUUUAGCGUUUAUGGACCAACCAACCUGUAAUCAUGGACCUUAUUGUCUGGUAGACCAUUUGGUGUUUCAAGUGUUUUGGAGCUUGCACUUUGUGCAUGUAGAUACAAACUUGUGUGUUCUGGACCAGCUGAAGUCUCUCAUAGUAAUCAAUAGUCCUUAUCUUUUU